GUAGGUGGCAAGCGUUGUCCGGAAUUAUUGGGCGUAAAGCGCGCGCAGGCGGUUCUUUAAGUCUGAUGUGAAAGCCCACGGCUCAACCGUGGAGGGUCAUUGGAAACUGGAGAACUUGAGUACAGAAGAGGAAAGCGGAGUUCCACGUGUAGCGGUGAAAUGCGUAGAGAUGUGGAGGAACACCAGUGGCGAAGGCGGCUUUCUGGUCUGUAACUGACGCUGAGGCGCGAAAGCGUGGGGAGCAAACAGGGAUUAGAUACCCUGGUAGUCCACGCCGUAAACGAUGAGUGCUAAGUGUUAGGGGGGUUUCCGCCCCCCUUAGUGCUGCAGCUAACGCAUUAAGCACUCCGCCCUGGGGAGUACGGCCGCAAGGCUG
rnacentral:rRNA from 1 species